UACGUAGGGGGCUAGCGUUGUCCGGAUUUAUUGGGCGUAAAGGGCGCGUAGGCGGGCUGUCAAGUCUGGGGUGAAAUCCCACGGCUCAACCGUGGAACUGCCUCGGAUACUGACGGCCUCGAGGGAGGUAGGGGCGUGCGGAACUGUGGGUGGAGCGGUGAAAUGCGUUGAUAUCCACAGGAACUCCGGUGGCGAAGGCGGCACGCUGGACCUCUUCUGACGCUGAGGCGCGAAAGCCAGGGGAGCAAACGGG
rnacentral:rRNA from 1 species